rnacentral:rRNA from 1 species
CAGAAAGACCCUAUGAAGCUUUACUGUAACUUGAAAUUGGAAUUGGACUUUAUUCGCGCAGUAUAGGUGGGAGGCUAUGAAAUUGAUCUUGCGGGAUCACUGGAGCCGUUAGUGAGAUACCACUCUUAUAAUGUUAGAUUUCUAACUUUGAACCAUUAUCUGGUCAUAGAACAGUUUCAGGCGGGCAGUUUGACUGGGGCGGUCGCCUCCCAAAUGGUAACGGAGGCGUGCAAAGGUUUCCUCUGAACGUGUAGAAAUCGUAUCUAGAGUGUAAAGGCAUAAGGGAGCUUGACUGUGAGACCUACAAGUCGAGCAGGGACGAAAGUCGGCCUUAGUGAUCUGACGGUACUGAGUGGAAAGGCCGUCACUCAACGGAUAAAAGUUACUCUAGGGAUAACAGGCUGA